AUUUCCAUAUCUGGGAGGAGGGAUAGGUUGAUAUGUAUUUCCAUUUCCAUAAUGGGGAGGAGUGAUAGGGUGAUAUGUAUUUCCAUUUCCAUAUUGGGGAGGAGUGCUUGGUUGAUAUGUAUUUUCAUUUCCAUGUUGGGGAGGAGUGAUAGGUUGAUAUGUAUUUCCAUUUCCAUAUUGGGGAGGAGUGCUAGGUUGAUAUGUAUUUCCAUUUCCAUGUUGGGGAGGAGACUCCACAUUCAGACUUUCUUGUAGGGCUCUGGCGAGUUGUUCAUCUUCUUCCAACUGAGAAUCAA
rnacentral:lncRNA from 1 species